CCCCCCGGGUUGUGCCGUGGCAGAGAUCUUUGUGGGCUAUACUCAGCCUUGUCUCGUCUCAGGAUGGACCUGAGCCCUAGGACCAUGCCUCAGGACAACCUGACAUGAUGACUCCUUGCUGUCCCCAGUCCACCUGGCCGUGCUGCUGCUCCAGUUUCAACUGUUCUGCCUUAUUAUUAUUGGACCAUGCUAGUAAUUUAUGAACAUUUGAACAUCUUGGCCAUGUUCUGUUAUAAUCUCCACCCGGCACAGCCAGAAGAGGACUGGCCACCCCACAUAGCCUGGUUCCUCUCUAGGUUUCUUCCUAGGUUUUGGCCUUUCUAGGGAGUUUUUCCUAGCCACUGUGCUUCUACACCUGCAUUGCUUGCUGUUUGGGGUUUUAGGCUGGGUUUCUGUACAGCACUUUGAGAUAUCAGCUGAUGUACGAAGGGCUAUAUAAAUCGAUUUGAUUUGAUAUCGCACAGUAUUUUUGUAAGGACUGAACCAAGUUUUCCUCUAGCCCUUACAAAAAAGUCCUACAGGAAUCCUGCAGAAUAUAUAUACUGCAAGAAUAAGAAGUCCUGCAGGAUAUCGCACAGGAUUUUUGGAGCCACUUUCCUAUUGGACAAUCCCUGCAGGAUCCUGUAGGAAUCAUGCCGGUAGUCCUUCAGGAAUACAAUCCUGCAAGAUUUCUGUAGGACUUUUUUGUAAGGAAGGAUUUUGCCUGUGCUUAGCUCUAUUCUGUUUCUUUUUAUCCUAAAAAACUCCCUAGUCCUUGCCGAUGACAAGCAUACCAAUCACCAUUGGCCUCACGGUGAAAUCCCUGAGGGGUUUCCUUCCUCUCCGGCAACUGAGUUAGGAAGGAUGCCUGUAUCUUUGUAGUGACAGGGUGUACUGAUACACCAUCCAAAGUGUAAUUAAUAACUGCACCAUGCUCAAAAGGAUAUUCAAUGUCUGUUUUUUUUAAGCAUCUACAAAUAGGUGCCCUUCUUUGCGAACCAUUGAAAACCUCACUGGUCUUUGUAGUGGAAUCUGUGCUUGAAAUUCAUUGCUCAACUGAGGGACCUUACAGAUAAUUGUAUGUGUGGACUACAGAGAUGGGGAAGUCAUUUUAAAAUCAUGUUAAACACUAUUAGUGCACACAGAGUGAGUCCAUACAACCUAUUAUGUGACUUGUUAAGCACGUUUUUACUUCUGAACUUAUCAAGACUUACCAUAACAUAAGGGUAGAAUACUUAUUCUAUUAAGUAGAAUACUUAUUCAGCUUUUAAUUUUUAAUUAAUUUGUAAACACUUCUAAAAACAUAAUUCCACUUUGACAUUAUGCGGUAUUGUGUGUAGAUCAGUGACACAAAAUCUCAAUUUAAUACAUUUUAAAUUCACAACAAAAUGUGGAAAAAGUCAAGGGGUGUUAAUACAUUCUGAAGACACUAUAAAUAGGCCUAUAUUAUUUAGAAUGCAUUAGGCGAUUCAUAUUUUUGCAACAUGAAAUAUGCAGCUUACUACAUGGCAUGGUUUUGCCAGAGGGUGUUGGACAUGUGGCACAGACUCCUGCUGCUCUUACUAUUUAUGUACUCUCAGAAAUUACUCAACUUGAACUUGAAUAUACUCAUUAUUCCGCUCUGUAAUACAUCAAAUACUUAAGGGUCAGAUUCCAUCAAGUAUCCAUGAGAGAUUUUCUACACUGUCACUUAAAUUAUAUGGACAUACUCACAGACACAACAUAUUAGUCACAAAGUCAUCACUUUGUAAUUCAUGUUUUGAAGAUGUGAGAAAUCAAAUACUUUAUGUAUUGCAUCUGCCUUUUAGGCCAAAGCAUUUUGUUAGUGUUUAUAUACUCACCAUGAAAUAUUGAACUUUGUUUAAACUCUGUUAGGACAGUUGAAAGCUAUGCUAAAAAUCUCCCAUGUUAUUCUACAAUAUGUAAGCAGUGUUUGGAAUAUCAGCAUAUCCAUGGAGGAGAGGGAAGAAAGACAAGAGCCUGCAACAGGUUUGCACUUUGUGGGCAAGAAGGAGGACCUGAUAAAAGCCAAGCGGGACAUACUUGUGCUCUGUCACCAAGAGACAUUCUACGCUCUGGACUUCCACUGCUACCGUAGAGUAACAUGUGCCUGAGUACCAGAUCUGUUUGUGCGUCUUGCCAUUACCAACUCCUUUGUCAUUAACCCCCUAUACAUGGGCUAACAUACAUCCUUUGUCCUCAUCUUGUCCCCAUUAUGAUUGUGCUUACAUUUUCAGACGUGUAGACGAUUAAAAGACGCAUAAUGAUCUAA